GGUGCUCUUUAUGGUGUAAUGGUUAGCACUCUGGACUUUGAAUCCAGCGAUCCGGGUUCAAAUCCCGGUAGGACCU
rnacentral:tRNA from 1 species